UUCGCUCGCUCGCCCCCGCCCCCCGGCUCCCUCGUUCUUUGUAAUUCCUUGCUAAGAUUGCUGACAGUGAUGAGCAACUGAAGGCUAAGUGGAGUCCAGCAUCUGAAAACUGGUCAAUUGAGCAAUCAUGAAGUUGUCUUCCAUCUUCAAUUUCUAUACCCCCUUUAUGUGCAAAAAUCUCAUUCUAGUUGUUUCAAGUAGUUGAGAGUAUUAAUUUGAGCGACUUGUGUCAUUAUACAUGGUUAUCAAUCUCCUUAGAAAUAUAUGGUAUAUUAUUUUAGGCAUUAAUGCUCAUGUUUGUUGAAAAUUUUACUUGCAAGUACAUAAAAUGCAACCUUUUCUGCUGUCCUGUGCUAUACAAGGGUGCUCUGAUGGUCUUCACCUGGGUCAUGCUUGCCAGUUGAGUAAAAUAUUUUGGUUGGAUGAGUUUCAAUUGCGUCGAAAAUAUGUUCCAUCGCGUGGAAAAAAUGUUUGCAUUGCAUUGUGACACGGAGGCAUUCCAGAAACUAAAAUGUAUGCAUAUGUAAAAAGUGUCGCAUUACCAUGAUUUAUAUGUCUGCAUGUAGUCUGAUGUUGUUCCAGGAUCAUAGUGCGAUAUCAAUAUUUGUCGUGUUUGUCGGAUAAGAUGUUUUCUUGGGGAGUCAUCAUCAAUGUAAGACAUUUAUGUUUAGUCCGCAAUGAUGUACUCUUUUGUCACAAAGUAAUGUAAUACUGCUGGUCCAUUACAACAAAGUCGGCAAUGAUGGAUUGUUUAGUCACAAAGAAAUUACUGUACUGUUUGUGCCAAACCUGUCUGAAUGUGUGCCUUCAGUGGAUAUAUGGAAGAAUAAUUGGAUUGCAUACCGAAAAUCAAAGACAGAAAGGGAGCAGCUGAUUAUGAAGAAAGAAAAGAACCCAGAUGAUCCGAAGGAGCAGAAGCAAGCUGCAAGUAUUAGCUUACUUCAGCUACCUUGGUCGUCAAGUUCAGAGGAGCAGAGGAGAUGUCUGACAACUCCGUGGAGUCGUUCAAACCGCAUGGCUCCCCCUCCAAUCGCUACAGCCUGGCAAAGUGUUAAGUCCAGCAUCACAACAAAUUGUAAAUGCAUUUCUGGGCACACAAUCUAGUGGCAAGAUUUGUAAGUGAGCAACAAAGAUAGCAGGUAGAAAAGAAGAAGUUACAAGGGGGAUUUCGGGCGAAGCGAGGGUUCGGUCUUGCUGCCAUUAUCCUCUUCGAGCAGGCGCGUCCGAGGCUAAAUUGUACUGACAUGGUAACUCGAAAGGUUGAAGAUCGUCCGGGUUCGCGAUAUGUCUUGCCCCGGGUCCUGCUUUUGUACACGUUAUAUGACUGCAUCCUUGGCGCAAUUCCGGGCCUCAUUUAAGUGAGUUUGCGAUAUUCCAAUCCGGCCUGUGGAGAUUACAUACCUUUGAGAGAUAACAUACCUGAGGAAGGUGAUUCCUGGGC